AAAAAAAAAAAAAAAAACAACCCUCAAACAAAACUGUAAACGAAAUGAAAGAAGUGGAGGCAACUUCAAGCUUCAGUUUACUAUAAUACACAAAUUUGAUCAGCUUAAUAUGUGACUCAGAGGAUAUACUGAGUGAAAAGACAUGGCAAUGUCCUGGAAAAACUGGAAAUACACUCUUUUGGCAUCUGAGUGGAUGUGGGACAUAGAGUACUCCUUGAGUAUUUAUUUACUUUGCAUGUAUUGUUUUGAUGCAGAGAGAUGCAUCCACUUAGCAUGACUGUCUUGUUCCCAGAUGAGACAAGGACCAGGUUUUCAAGCAAUGUGAAAGAGGCAAAUGUCCAUGUGCCUCUUCUGGCCUGUCUUCAGCCAGAGCACUGAGAUUUUUAGGGAAGAUAUGGAAGAAGAAAGAAGUACUGUUGCUACAGGAUGCACUCCAGCUGGAAUAAUGUAAGUUUUUAGGCAUGCAAGCUCUUCCUUAGCAACUUUUUCAUCCUAUAAACCUUACAGUCCAUUGUGGCUUCAACCACAUCCAUUUUACACGUAGUCUCAUGGCCAAAGCAAUACUUAGUGAAAAGAAUUAAAAUUAUUCCUGGCUCUGGCUUUGUUUUGGCUGAAAAUAUGUCUGUGUUUUGAAUUUUUUAGACUGAAGUUACUGAACUCCCUUGUAGAUAUAUUUAAAAAUGUGAUGGAUAGUUACCUUUAAUGUACAAUAGGGGUCACUUAUAGGAAUUUAAUCUUGAAUUCAGGUUAUGAGAGUUCAUCACUUUUUGUUCAGAGCUGAAACUCCUGGAUCUCAUUAGAUGAAUCUCUGACUCUCACUGAAAUAGCCAUUGCUCCAUAAUUUGCUGAAUUUAGUUAUAUUCUGUUGUUUUUGUAAUACAUCACUCUUACCAAUGUGCAUUUCUGUUUGGUCUUGAAGCAAAUUUCUUUCCUGCAUAGAAGGUAUUGCUAAAACAUGCCAGAAAGACAAAGUGUUUCUCUCAUUUAAACCCAGUCCUUGAGUUUUUAGAGCUGUUAGAGGAGUUGCAUGGGGCCCUUCUCUGCGCAGAUACCUCCUGUACUCUUUCUAUUACUUUUUCUUUAAUUCCACUAAAACAUCUUUUUCACUAUCCUAGAGUUGUCAGUCAUGUGAGCAGCCUACCUGACUUCAAAGCAACAUUUUGAAAAGGAAAAAGUUAUUUGAAUGGUGAAGUGAUGUAAAUUAGCCUUGUGAAGAGUGAUGUUGUUUUUUGUCCCUUUCUGUUAAUUCUGAAGUGCAUAUACUUUAGCACUGAGGAACCAUUUUAUCUGAUACAUGCUAAGAUUGUCAUCUGUACUAUAUCACAUACAAUGUGUGUUUACUUAGGUAUUUUUUCCUUCAUUUUUCUUCAGAAAAUAUGUGCCUAUAUCUGUACAGCUCUGCGAGCUGACAUUUCUUUCUAAACAGCUAUGUGAAGAAUUUGUUUAAAUUUUCCACCUUUUUUUUUUUUUACCUUAUCCCUUUAAGAAUGAUUCUCCAUAAUCCCUAUUCUGUUCUUCA